GUGUCAUAGAGCAUUAGGUGAGCUGAGUGUCCAUGGUUAUUAUAUAACAUGUAUACAUUGUGUUUUAUACUUUAGUAACUUGUAUUAUCACUGUGUAAAGUGUAACACUGAAUGUGUACUUAACUCCUAAUUGAUGGUAACUCCAUAAGAACAUAAGAAACAUAGAGUCAAUAAGUCAAUAAGAACAUGAAAAGUGCGAGUCAGGAAGACAGAAACCCACAAUGGGAGAACACAACCCCGCCGUCGGCUGUCGACCCACUGUCGCAGUGUCCCUGAUGGCUCUAAUUUUGUUUCUUGAAUGCACAGACGUGGACAGGGAAAAUUUAAUUUUUUUUGGGAAUUGCGGUGCUUGGUUUUAUUUUGAAGCUAGUGCUGACCAUCCUGGUCAUGCUCUGAAGAUCAUCAGGAUAAAAACAACCGCAACGUGUUAAUGUUCUCCGAGUUCCAGCAGGAGUCCUGCUCUGGUUCUGUCCUCGCCUUUUCUCUGUGGCUUCACUCACUUUACAAGAAGACGCCAUCAUCUCGUCCAGAUAUCUGAAUAAAGUUAAAGAUGUUCACACUAGACACUGAGGAUCCUCUAAUGAUAGACUUAUAGACUUAAAGAACAUGACAAAGUUCUGCUCAUGACAUCAAUCAGACAAUUAAUAAAUGUUGAUGUACACCA